GUUUUCCUACGGGAGGCAGCAGUGAGGGAUAUUGGUCAAUGGGGGAAACCCUGAACCAGCAACGCCGCGUGAGGGAAGACGGCCCUACGGGUUGUAAACCUCUUUUGUCGGGGAGCAAAGCGAGUCACGUGUGACUCAUUGAGAGUACCCGAAGAAAAAGCAUCGGCUAACUCCGUGCCAGCAGCCGCGGUAAUACGGAGGAUGCGAGCGUUAUCCGGAUUUAUUGGGUUUAAAGGGUGCGCAGGCGGAGGUGCAAGUCAGCGGUCAAAUUGCGGGGCUCAACCCCGUACUGCCGUUGAAACUGC
rnacentral:rRNA from 1 species